rnacentral:rRNA from 1 species
AGCAGCCGCGGUAAUUCCAGCUCCAAUAGCGUAUAUUAAAGUUGUUGCAGUUAAAAAGCUCGUAGUUGAAUUUCGGGGUUAGUAGGUCGGUCAUGCCUCAGGUAUGCACUGGUCUCACUGAUUCCUCCUUCCUGAUGAGCCGUAAUGCCAUUAAUUUGGUGUUGCGGGGAAUCUGGACUGUUACUUUGAAAAAAUUAGAGUGUUUAAAGCAGGCUAACGCUUGAAUACAUUAGCAUGGAAUAAUGGAAUAGGACGUUCGAUCCUAUUUUGUUGGUUUCUAGGAUUGACGUAAUGAUUAAUAGGGAUAGUUGGGGGCAUUAGUAUUCAAUUGUCAGAGGUGAAAUUCUUGGAUUUAUUGAAGACUAACUACUGCGAAAGCAUUUGCCAAGGAUGUUUUCAUUAAUCAAGAACGAAAGUUAGGGGAUCGAAGACGAUCAGAUACCGUCGUAGUCUUAACCAUAAACUAUGCCGACUAGGGAUCGGAUGAUGUUAAUUUUUUAAUGACUCAUUCGGCGCCUUACG